UACGUAGGCAGCGAGCGUUGUUCGGAGUUACUGGGCGUAAGCGUGCGUAGGCGGUGUCUUAAGUUUGUUGUGAAAUCUCCCGGCUUAACCGGGAGGGUGCGGCGAAUACUGAGAUGCUGGAGUGCCGGAGAGGUAAGCGGAAUUCCUGGUGUAGCGGUGAAAUGCGUAGAUAUCAGGAGGAACACCUGCGGUGUAGACGGCUUACUGGACGGUAACUGACGCUGAGGCACGAAAGCGUGGGUAGCAAACAGG
rnacentral:rRNA from 1 species